rnacentral:lncRNA from 1 species
UCGCGCGUGAGGCGUCGGGCGACCGAGCGCGCGGGAAGGGCGAGCGCUAUACGCCGCGCGGCUGCCUCGCCCUCUCUCCUGGUGAUAGCCAUUUGGCGUCUUCUGUCUGCUCUCGGUGCCUGGCGAAGCCCGAGUUGGCCCUGAGGCGUCUGCACGGGGAGGCGAGGGCGAGCAUGUUUGUUGUUUACCAAGAAUUGGAAAAAUAAGGGCCCGGACUCUUCGGACUCUCUGUACGGUAUUGGGGUGUGGGAGCCACCUCCUCCCCUGAAGGUCCCAGGAUACUCGCUGCCCGCACCCUGCGGGCUCGGCCGGACAUUCCUCGGAAACAGCUGCGUCUGUGUGAGAAAUGAGCGGAUUACCUGAGGCGUGGAGGGGUUUAGAGACAGCAUUUUGCCAGUCCACGACACUGAAGCGGGGCAAACGUGGGAACUCCUUACUGCCAGAAAGGUGAGGGAAUGAGGAGAUGCAGCAAGCCUGCUGAAAAGGCGGCAGACAUGCUGCGGGGCCAGCAGCCACGGGACCAGCAGCCACGCAGUCUGCCUUCGCAGCGUAGCUUCAUUCAUUCAUGCGCGUAGCAAAUAAGUAUUCAAUGCUCACCCUAUGCCAUUGUUCUGGGCGUCAAUGAAGGGAGUAUAAACAGCACCUGCUCCCAUGGAUUUGGAAGGAAUCUUUGCUACAAUAGCUAAUGAAGAUUGACUUGUGCUUCCUCAAGCUACUCUAUAACUUGUAUGCCCAUUGAUUUUAAUUGCAUUUAAGAUUCUGCAGUGCACUUAGUGGAUGUGCAAACGUUUUAAACAUAAAAUAGAGGUCACAGCCUAUUGACCUCUGUUCCCGUUUGCUUCUUUGGAAAAGUUUUUAGUUUUGUUGCUAUCUUGGGAUCAAAAAUAGUGUCCCCUCUUUUCUUAAUGUGCUUAUAAAUUAAUAUAAGUUCCCUUUUAUUGAUUUUCCAUUUCAAACAUAAAUGUUAACCAACAAGUAACAGUUUACACAUAGAUGUCUGUAUGCUGCUCUUUCUAGUCACAUCCAUUUAGCUAUAACAUGAUGAAGUCUAAUUAAUUGAAGCUUCAAUAAAUGGAAGGACCAGCUUAAAGUAAAAUAAGCCUGUGAAAAAUCUUGGCACAAUUGAAAUUUCAUAAAUAUCUGUGAAAGAUAAUUAGGCAUCUUAAAGUGAAAAGUCUUCAUUAUGAACUUAUUAAUGAAGAUGGAUGUUUUUGAAGUUUGAAAGAAUUCUUGUCUUAAGGUAGGGGUGUCCCCAAGGAGAGGGUAAAUUAUUACCUGUCAAAGGAUAUGACAAGAAAGUACUUACUGGUGAAUUUUCUGUGUUCGAAAGCCUGGCUCUGUAGAACUAGAAAUUGGUAUUGUAAGCCCAACAGUGGGUUCAUUUUUUAGAGUAGUCUCAAAUUUAUAAAUCUCAAAAAAAAGGAACUGUGUAAACUAGAAUAACAAUUUACUGAUUUUCAAGUAAGAAAUACGACAUGCAUUUAAUUCAAACUCAUGCAAAUAUUUAUGAAGCACCUAUGUCCAGGACACUGUGCUAUGUGUUGAAAAUUUGGAGUUCAAAUUUAUCAAGAAAGAUAUAUAUUGAAAAAGUAAAAGUAGGAUGGGUGUUAAGAAAGAGGAAGUAUGGGAGCUUGUAGAAGCACGCACGAGGUUUAUAACCUAGGUUAGAUGGUCAGGAAGAUCUCCAAAAUGAUUUUAUCUUAAGGGAAUGAGAAAUUAUUAAAAAGGCUUUAAAUAGGAAAUUAGCAUGAUCAGAUUUGUCGGCUAGAAUAUUUGUGUAAUCGGAAAGGGUAAUGUUUCAAGAAGUGUAUUAAUGUCACUUUCUGGGUAUACAACUUAAUCAAUCCAAGGCACCUUUCUGCUGAGGAUUUGGAUUCUUGUAUAAAAAAUACAAAAGAAAUAUUUACUUUUUAACUUUCGAUAUUAAAUAUAGGAUUUUUUAAAUCGAGUUUUUAGGCUUCAAAUCGAGGCAUUGUCAAGACAUAAAAUGUAAAUUUGUUUAUGGUUCAACAUAUCAAGGCUAGGCCUGGUGGACCAAAUGAUAGGGUUUCUCCCAUAGUAAAGACAAGGUAUCUUAGUCCAGUAUGAAGGAUUUAGUCAGAGAUUGAUAUAAGGAAGGUGGUGGCUAUGAAGUAGGUAAAGUAGAAGAAAAUCCUAUUCUCUUUGGCUUGGAGAAUUACGGGAAAGGGGUAGAAGAGCUCAAGAAAGACACCAGAAACAUUUUUACUGUUCCCACCCUGAAGAUGUAGGGUGAGGGGUUGUGGCUUUAGAAAUAUCCAGAUUGGUGUGGGAAAACUCAAGGACAGAGAAAUUACUUUCCCAAUUCUCAGAUAUCUGGGAAGAUAUCAGGCUGAGCAGGAACCACAUUCCAGUAACCUUGAACAGGGCGGAGACAGGGUAGGCAUUGACUUUCCAGAGUGCUGUAAGUUUCUAUGUACUGUUGAGACUCAGAAAACAAUACU